CAGCCUUGAUCUCUACAAAGGAAUUUUACCACAGUGAUUAAAGUUCGAGAUGCACAACAGAAAGUCCACAUCAACUGAUUUCAUUACACCUGUUACAUUUCAAUACACUCCAGGGAAAUGGUAGUCAUUAAUAUUAUAUACCAAAUAUCUCUGGUUGCUAUCCCUGGGGGUGCUUUGCACUGGCCUGUACCCUUUGAAGUUAGAUGUGACCAUGUGACUUUCUUGAGCCAAUGAAACAUGAAUAAAUCUGAUGUGUAUUAUUACAGA
ensembl:lncRNA novel transcript